rnacentral:rRNA from 1 species
UCUGGUUGAUCCCGGUGGAGGUUACUGCUAUCGAGGUUCGACUAAGCCAUGCGAGUCGAAUGUAGCAAUACAUGGCGUACUGCUCAGUAACACGUGGACAACCUACCCUUAGGUCGGGGAUAAACCCGGGAAACUGGGUAUAAUACCCGAUAGUCCUCGGAUGCUGGAAUGCACCGAGGUCUAAAGCUCCGGCGCCUAAGGAUGGGUCUGCGGCCUAUCAGGUAGUAGUGGGUGUAGCGUACCUACUAGCCUACGACGGGUACGGGUUGUGAGAGCAAGAGCCUGGAGAUGGAUUCUGGGACACGAAUCCAGGCCCUACGGGGUGCAGCAGGCGCGAAAACUUUACAAUGCUGGAAACAGCGAUAAGGGGACCUUGAGUGCCAGGUUACAAAUCUGGCUGUCGUGAUGCCUAAAAAGCAUUGCAUAGCAAGGGCCGGGCGAGACCGGUGCCAGCCGCCGCGGUAACACCGGCGGCUCGAGUGGUAACCGCUAUUAUUGGGUCUAAAGGGUCUGUAGCCGGCCGGAUAAGUCUUUUGGGAAAUCUGGCAGCUUAACUGUCAGGCUUUCGGAGGAUACUGUCUGGCUCGAGGCCGGGAGAGGUGAGAGGUACUUCAGGGGUAGGGGUGAAAUCUUGUAAUCCUUGAAGGACCACCAGUGGCGAAGGCGUCUCACCAGAACGGACCUGACGGCAAGGGAC